rnacentral:rRNA from 1 species
UUGGCCUUGACAUACUAAGAACUUUCCAGAGAUGGAUUGGUGCCUUCGGGAACUUAGAUACAGGUGCUGCAUGGCUGUCGUCAGCUCGUGUCGUGAGAUGUUGGGUUAAGUCCGCAACGAGCGCAACCCUUUUCCUUAUUUGCCAGCGGGUAAUGCCGGGAACUUUAAGGAUACUGCCAGUGACAAACUGGAGGAAGGCGGGGACGACGUCAAGUCAUCAUGGCCCUUACGGCCAGGGCUACACACGUGCUACAAUGGUCGGUACAAGGGGUUGCUACCUCGCGAGAGGAUGCUAAUCUCAAAAAGCCGAUCGUAGUCCGGAUCGCAGUCUGCAACUCGACUGCGUGAAGUCGGAAUCGCUAGUAAUCGCGGAUCAGAAUGCCGCGGUGAAUACGUUCCCGGGCCUUGUACACACCGCCCGUCACACCAUGGGAGUUUGUUGCACCAGAAGUAGGUAGUCUAACCGCAAGGAGGACGCUUACCACGGUGUGGCCGAUGACUGGGGUGAAGUCGUAACAAGGUAGGCGUAGAUGA